rnacentral:rRNA from 1 species
AUGGUCCAAACAGGAACCACCGAUUUACAAAUUUUAUUAACCACUGAAUUUAGGGAGCGGCGCCAAAUCCUUCUAUGGAUUGCUUUUUUCGCCUCUUUUGCCGUCAAAGUGCCUAUGGUACCAGUUCAUAUUUGGUUACCCGCCCAUGUAGAGGCACCUACGGCUGGAUCCGUCAUCUUGGCUGGAAUUCUUUUAAAAUUGGGAACCUACGGGUUUUUAAGAUUUUCAAUACCCAUGUUUCCUGAAGCGACACUUUGUUUCACUCCUUUCAUUUAUACUCUAAGUGCGAUUGCUAUAAUAUAUACUUCCUUGACCACUUUAAGACAGAUCGAUCUUAAGAAGAUCAUUGCCUACUCCUUAGUAGCCCACAUGAAUUUGGUGACUAUUGCUAUGUUUAGUCGGGCAGCGGCCGGAAUUGGAGGUAGCAUUUUACUUAUGUUAAGUCAUGGACUGGUUUCUUCAGCCCUUUUUCUAUGUGUUGGUGUUCUAUAUGACCGACAUAAGACUCGACUUGUUAGAUAUUAUGGAGGUUUAGUGAGCACCAUGCCAAAUUUCUCUACCAUUUUCUUCUUUUUCACUUUAGCCAAUAUGGUUUUACCCGGCACUAGCAGCUUUAUCGGGGAAUUUCUAAUCUUAGUAGGAGCUUUCCAAAGAAAUAGCUUAGUAGCCACAUUAGCUGCGCUUGGGAUGAUUUUAGGCGCGGCGUAUUCCCUUUGGCUAUAUAAUCGUGUGGUUUCUGGAAAUUUAAAACCCGAUUUCCUCUAUAAAUUCUCCGAUCUAAAUGGCAGAGAAGUUUCCAUAUUUCUACCUUUUCUUGUUGGAGGGACGACCGUCCAUUGA